rnacentral:lncRNA from 1 species
CUCGUAAGAAUAUCUGAUUCCUCGCUUCCGUCAAGAGCAAAAAAACAUUCAGGACUUGGCUCAGAGCUUCAGUGUAAGGGUCAAAAUGACUCAGGGACUAUAGUCUUGCAGAACUUAUGAGGUUGGAAGAUGGAUGAAGAGCUCCAAGGCUCAAAAUGUUUCCGGUGUUUGAAAAAUUGGAAGACAAAUGGAAGAUGCAUUCGCAUUCGGGUAACGGGUAUGUGUAAAUCGAAGUUUUCCGGUUGAUCUUCCUGACUCUCGGUACCAUCACUCCCUUUCUAUCGCUUUCCCCUAGCAUCAGUUUCAUCUCCUUUUUGAAAACUUCCCACCUAAUUCAAGAUUCAAAGGAAAUAUUUGUACAAACUCUUAGUCAUAAAAAGUGUUAAAACUGCUCAAUAUAUGUCUCUCUUGUGUGCAUGGGAGCUUUAGUUCUUUCAUGUCAACUAUAUCAAGUCGAGACGAGGAAAUGAAGAUGUAUAGUACCUCAUUUCCAUGUCCUGAAGAAGGAGAACGAGUUUGGGUUUGUCGGGUAUGACAGUUUUUGCAUGUCCACCGAAGAGGAAUCUUCGAUGGCCCAUCAAAAAAUGAGGAAAGUUUCCACCUUGAGUUGUCACAAAGACUUCACUUAGCAAACUCACUGUGUAGUCCAAAGCAGCCAUUCUGGAGGAAUAUCCCUAAAUAAUCAGAGCAACAAGAAAAUAUAAGACUUUGACACCAAACAGAUUUGCUUAGACUAAUGAAGUCAAAGUAAAAACCUGAAAUGGGGCAAGCUCCUCUGGAGUUGCAAGAGACUCUUUUGUGUAGAGACGAGGAAACAUUUCUUGAAGAGGAGCCAAAUGUUUCUCAGGUUGGUAGAUUCUUCCCGAGGCCAAAUAUAUCGAAGUGUUGUUAUCAAAUCCCAUACCACGGAGCAUCAUACCGACCUAUGGUAACGUGAGAACAUCAAUUAGAAAACAAAGCUCAAUAACAUACUGAAAUGUGAAUUAGAUCAAUGAAUUUACCUCUAAUGGGGUAAGGGGACAUUUUCCGUUAACUCGGUUAAGGUCGGGCCUAAUGACACGAUCUCUUCGUUUGAACUUUCCUUUCCAACUUUUCUGUCUAAUCACAUCCAUUUCAGAUUUCUCAGCUCUUCCACCUUCGUAGAGACAACAUGAGAAUGCCACCAUGUCCUAAAAAACCAAGGCUUUUUAUUUAUCUUGUCUCUCUAAAGCAUACUAAUACUAAACUAUCACUAAAGCAAAGUGAUUCUGUAAAUCAAAGACAAAAACUUACCUCCUCAAAUCGAAGGUGGACCGAGACAUACUUUCCUCCGGUCGCCGAGCUUUUCUCAACCAUCCGAUCGACUAACUUCUCAGCUAGUGUUGAUAUAGGUGAAGAAAACUUCAAUGCUUUGUAAUUAGCUAUGCACCUCAAAAGUUGUAUAUACGGUGGAACACUCAUCGCCAAUCUAUUUGCGAAAGGAGUUAUCCGAAUAACCCUGAAUCGAAUAAAACAAUAACACUGCCUUGAGAGAUAUAAGAGCUAAGCCAAGUAAAGAAGCUUAAAGAUUAAAGUCUACCUACCCAUGUUCCUUUAAAACCGGAUAAACUUCCCCGUUAUAGUAGUUCACAGUAGCCCAAGCUUGAACACGAAUAGUAGGAAUACUUGAAACAUUGUAACUAAAACGAGUCAUUAUCUCAUCAGGAACAUCUCUCACUAUUUUCACAUAACCUUCAAGGCUUGAUAUGAAGUGAUCUUCGUCAUAGAUAUCACCAAAGUUGCUGCCACAAAUAUGCAUUUUCUUAGUCCAAUAUCUUAACAAGACUUGAAAAGGUAAUGAAAAUUUUAAUGGCUUCUUACCUUGAAUCCUUCCAAAUAGCGUGAAACUCAAACCGCGGUAUGACUAAAACUGCGUUAAGAAGCCCGGCUACAGCCACAGCAUUGCAAAUCUGAAGCAAUACAAAAAAACUUUAGGAUAUGUUUUGACUUAUAUUGCUUUAAGCAAAUAAAUCAAUAAGGGAACAAGAUGAUGAUACCGCAGAACGCUGCUGAUUAAGACCGCCAUUUGCUUCCACGAUUAAGUAACCACUACUAGGAGCAAGAGCAGAUGAUUCUGAAAAUAUUUCAUCAAACACAUUAAUACCUAAAAUCAUAUGAACAAUCCAAGAAACUGGGAAGCCAUAGAAUUCAAAUAGUUCAGUAUCAGACACAAUCUUACCUCUGUUCAGACCAAAAUGUGAUGAAACUGUUGAAUUAGGACAAGGUUUUGGCAUCUUUGGUCUUCUUUUGAAUUUCCAGACAGAAGACAACUGAAACCAAACAUCAAGAAGCUUUCAAAGACAACAAAGCUAAGAAUUAGGCUUUGAAUGGCACUCGGAUAUGGGUGUGACUCCGAUUUGAAUGUGGGAACGAUACAACUUGAAAGUGAUAUAAAUAGUUAAAUCAAUGAAAGACUAUGAUUUACAAACCAACAUUACAUACAAACUCCAUCAAAUCCUAUUUCAUAAAAUGUUUUUACUUGAGAAAACCAUAUGCUAGAUAGAUUUUCAACUUUUUAAAGUACGUACUAUAAUUACCAAAGUAAAGAAUGAUGAAGAACCAAGAUACGGCAAGUAAAAUCAUAGGUUUCACAAACUAAAGUUCUUUUACCUUAUUCUUUGUUAGUAGCCGUUAGGUGUAGAAAAUUGCAUCGAUUCACAUGUGACUUCGAAAGACGAAAGAAAACAUAUUUGCGUAGGCCUGGUCAAAUAAACCAAACCAAAUACACCAAACCAUAAUUGAAGUAAAACAAAUUGAAUAGAAUUAAACCAAACCGAAAAUUUAAAAAUAGUUAAAUGGAUACUAAAUUCUAUAACCAAAAAAAACAAAAACGAAUCGAUACUGAUCCGAAAUAUUUUGAGUACUUGAAAAUAUCCGAAAUACAAUUAUAUAUUUUAAAAUAUUACCUAUUUAUAGACCAAAUAAUCCAAAAUACUUGAAUAUAUAUAUAAAAUACUAAAACUACUCGAAAAUAACAGAAAAUAUCCAAAAAUAUCUGAAAAUACUCAAAAAUAACCGAAAUAUCCAAAAAUACCCGAAGCAUAAUACCCGAAUGGAUACUAAUUUUAAAACCGAAAGACCGGAACCGGACCAAACCGAACCGAAAUGGAUAUAAAAAUCUAAACCCAAAAUAACCAAAAUCGAAUAGAACCGAUAACCGAUUGGUUAACCGAACCCCCAGGACUACAUUUGCAGAAGGGAGAUCGAUUGAAUGUAAAAACUACUGGAACCGAAGGUAGGGAAUAUUACAAUGAAUUUUUUUCAAAAAAAAUCCCACCAGAACGAUGUAAAAUUUCUAUACACUUGAACAAUUUGAGUGACAACGUAAGUAAUGCACAAAAAAGAUAACAACAUAAGUACAGAAAAUCACACCCCUGUUUUUGUGACUGUCCUAACUCCUAACCAGAAGUAGCAAGCAACACAGCUUUCAAUCCUAGAGAGUUCUUACACUUAUGUGAACUCAAUCUCCUCGUAAGAAUAUCUGAUUCCUCGCUUCCGUCAAGAGCAAAAAAACAUUCAGGACUUGGCUCAGAGCUUCAGUGUAAGGGUCAAAAUGACUCAGGGACUAUAGUCUUGCAGAACUUAUGAGGUUGGAAGAUGGAUGAAGAGCUCCAAGGCUCAAAAUGUUUCCGGUGUUUGAAAAAUUGGAAGACAAAUGGAAGAUGCAUUCGCAUUCGGGUAACGGGUAUGUGUAAAUCGAAGUUUUCCGGUUGAUCUUC